GACGAACGCUGGCGGCGUGCCUAAUACAUGCAAGUCGAACGCAGUGGGGACGGGUGAGUAACACGUGGGUAACCUCCCAUCAGAGGGGAUAACACUUGGAAACAGGUGCUAAACCGAUACUGAUGGAUGGACCCGCGGUGCAUUAGCUAGUUGGUGAGGUAACGGCUCACCAAGGCAACGAUGCAUAGACGACAUGAGAGGGUGACCGUCCACACUGGGACUGAGACAAGGCCCACACUCCGACGGGAGGCGGCGGUAGGGAAUCUUCGGAAAAGGACAAAAGUCUAACCGAGCAACGCCGCGUGAGUGAAGAAGGUUUUCGGAUCGUAAAACUAUGUUGUUAGAGAAGCGGUAUCUAACCAGAAAGCGACGACUAACUACGAGCCAGCAGCCACGGUAAUAC
rnacentral:rRNA from 1 species